rnacentral:lncRNA from 1 species
AGCUAAACUGUGAUUUCAUUGCCCUUGUUAAACAGUAGCAGUCCAUGUAAUGUUUAUUCAUUCUCACAUUGACUUUGAAGGAUGAAGAAGACGAUGAUGAUUACGUUGAUGAAGGGGAGGAAGAGGAAGAAGAGGAAGAAGAGGGUCCUCGGGGAGAGAAAAGAAAGCGAGAUGCUGAAGAUGACGGGGAGGAAGAUGAUGAUUAGACCCUCCAAGGAGAGGCUGCCUGACACUCCCGGUCGUGCAGUAGGGCGGUCACAUUGUCUGUGUUUCUUUAUGUAUGAUAGCUGUCCCAGUAGGAGAUGAUGUGUAACUUUUUAUAGGAAAAGUGUGGUUUUACUAUUUUGGCCUUACCAUUCCGGAUAAGAUUUGCUAGUCUGUUAAUCAUAAUGUACUUAGAAAAGAAUUCUCCUUCAUCUUCCCAUGGUGAAAUUCUCUAGCAUUGUAUUUAGAUUCUGGAUUUUUAUAAUUCAUGCUUAAUGUAUUAGACAUUUUUAGCCCAUAAUUAAAACAUGGUUGCUUUUACACAGGUGUAGUUUGGUGCAUUUCAUUCAUAAUGUUUUAAAGUUAUUUAUAAAUUAACGAAUUACACUUAGCUGUAAUAUGAAUUGGCAGUAGUCUUGAAUUAUAAAGCUGGAUUUUGUUUUGUUUUUUUAGAGGCGAUCCAGAGAUCAUCAGCGUGAAGGCAGUUUUUGGGGUGGGGCGAGGGUAUCUGAGGACGUUCCUGUCACAGUUUGGAAAUUAGAGGCAGAAUCAGGGUUCUCUCUUCAGAAGGCAGGUCAUGGGCUCAGUCCUGCGGAGCCAUAGAUAGUUCAGGGCUCUGUCUUUUCUCAGUCCAGACUUGCUGUGGAGCCCCCUCUGUGGGUGACUGAGCGGGCUGUGGGGUUCAGGUGUGCAUCCCCUCCCAGCUGCUCCUCUUCUGUCACCUUCAUUGCUUCAUUCCUGUCCGCAUCCAACAGACAGCUGGCAAAGCUGCAGACACCCCUGGGCUUUCACCUGUACCUCAGCCAUCUCUCUCAGUUUCGAGCAAGUGAAGUGGUUAAGCUGCCGUGAUGAGUGCUUCUUGUUCGGAGACAGGCUUUGUUGGCAACCUGAGGCUGUGUCAGGAUGAAGCAGCAGCUUCCUCUUUCUCCGAGGUCAGACCGAUUGCCAGCUGAUAACCAAUAACACGUUCGGGUCUAAUUUCUCAGUUUUCUAGGCGAUUUGGAUACCAACGCUGUGAAGUAUUUAUUAUGUUUCUUAGUGCAACCUUUAAUUAUUCUUAGUUUGAAAGCGUAAUCAGAUGUGGCAUUUGAUUGGAAUAUAGUGGCCAUAGGAGACUGUUUGAAAAUCAAUCUUGAAGUUGGUAUUUAUUUCAGGUGGAUAUCUGAAAAAUAAAAACAUUUGGGGGUAUGGGCAGGUGCUUUCUCAUGGCUACUAAACAAACAGCAGACAGGCCUCUCCCUUGUCCUGGAAGCUCCAUGUUUCAGGCAGUUGCUUUUUGAAUCUUGGGUACUAACGUUUGUUUUGCUUUUCUUUUAUAUAUCUAAGGUAGGUUUUUGUUUUGUUUUGUCUAUUUCUUUUUUUAAAAGUUAGUGUCAGCAAAAAUUAUUUUUGCCUCUCUUCUGGGACACAUAGAAAUUGCUCAUAAUAGUGGGGCUGCUGCUUUUUCAAGGUAAGAUGUCUGACCUGGUGUUUGAAAAUAAGAAGUAUGAACUUAUUUGUAGAGAAACUGACAAAGUCAUAUGCCUGACUGAAAUAAAUGGUUGAUGAACUCAGUGAGAGCAGGGAUCUCCAAAGGACUAACUUUGUCCCCUUAGUUCAGUAAUUGGAAUCCUGCUCCAGUCCCUAAGAAUUCUCUUUGCAAACUAUGCCAGGUUCAAAAUAAAUGCUUAUUUUUAAAAAUGAAAUCUAUAUAUUGACUUUUUAUCAAUCAUCUAUUGUGCAAUCAAAAUUAGAGUUCUUGAGUUUAAAAACAGCACAUAGGGCCUCCGGAUAACUGUAAGACUUAUUAGCUCUGUGGGUGGUAUUUUCAUGCAAAUAGGCAAGGGUGGGUUUUCUAUUCUGUAGAAGUUCUGGGUUCUGUUCUAACCCUCUCUGUACUGUGCGUGUGUAUACAAUAUGUUAAGUCCUUAGAGACUUUGCAGUUAAUACUUUUGUGCAACUGUAUUUUGAAUAAAGCCACCACAGUGUUAAACACAAGGACAGGCAGUACUGAUCAUGUGUUUCUGACUAUUUUGGUUUUUUUUUUCCUGACUGCUGUAACUUAAGUUUUUGAAACUGCAUUGCUUUGAAUAAAUUGAAGCGUUAUUAAUAAUG